rnacentral:misc_RNA from 1 species
GAUGAAGAACGCAGCGAAAUGCGAUAAGUAAUGUGAAUUGCAGAAUUCAGUGAAUCAUCGAAUCUUUGAACGCACAUUGCGCCCGCCAGUAUUCUGGCGGGCAUGCCUGUUCGAGCGUCAUUUCAACCAUCAAGCGCCUCGCUUGUGUUGGGGCCCUGCGGCUGCCGCAGGCCCCUAAAUCCAGUGGCGGGCUCGUCGUCGUACCGAGUGCAGUAAACAUCCUCGCUCAGGGAACCCGACGGGUGCCGGCCGUGAAACCCCCCCUCCUCAAGGUUGACCUCGGAUCAGGUAGGAAUACCCGCUGAACUUAAGCAUAUCAAUAAGCGGAGGA